rnacentral:rRNA from 1 species
UACGGGGGGAGCAAGCGUUGUUCGGAUUUACUGGGCGUAAAGGGCGCGUAGGCGGUCAGCACAAGUCAGUUGUGAAAUCUCCGGGCUUAACCCGGAAAGGUCAACUGAUACUGUGCGACUAGAGUGCGGAAGGGGCAACUGGAAUUCUCGGUGUAGCGGUGAAAUGCGUAGAUAUCGAGAGGAACACCUGCGGCGAAGGCGGCCUGCUGGGCAGUUGCUGACGCUGAGGCGCGACAGCGUGGGGAGCAAACAGG